UAAGUUGCAGGGUAUAGACCCGAAACCCGGUGAUCUAGCCAUGGGCAGGUUGAAGGUUGGGUAACACUAACUGGAGGACCGAACCGACUAAUGUUGAAAAAUUAGCGGAUGACCUGUGGCUGGGGGUGAAAGGCCAAUCAAACCGGGAGAUAGCUGGUUCUCCCCGAAAGCUAUUUAGGUAGCGCCUCGUGAAUUCAUCUCCGGGGGUAGAGCACUGUUUCGGCUAGGGGGCCAUCCCGGCUUACCAACCCGAUGCAAACUGCGAAUACCGGAGAAUGUUAUCACGGGAGACACACGGCGGGUGCUAACGUCCGUCGUGAAGAGGGAAACAACCCAGACCGCCAGCUAAGGUCCCAAAGUCAUGGUUAAGUGGGAAACGAUGUGGGAAGGCCCAGACAGCCAGGAUGUUGGCUUAGAAGCAGCCAUCAUUUAAAGAAAGCGUAAUAGCUCACUGGUCGAGUCGGCCUGCGCGGAAGAUGUAACGGGGCUAAACCAU
rnacentral:rRNA from 2 species